GUUUUUGCUCACCAAACCCACGUUUCUACUUUCAAAUGUGACUUUAUCACUUUUUGUGAUGUUUGGAUACAAUUAAAAGCAAAUCUGAAAACGCAGGUUUGAACCCAAAACUGAAGGUGAAAAACACAAGAAGGGGGGGGGGGGGUUGAAUUGUGUUUUCUUUUUCUCUUAAAAAAGGAUUCUUCUUCUGAUAAAACUUCAGAAGCAGUUUGAUUGCUUCUGAUGAAAUGAUCAGAGUCAGAUUGCAGCGGAAAAGAACAGAGCAGAGAAAAGAAAGACAAAGACACAGGCAGUUAUCCUGGUUCCUUCCACAACACGGAAGUAGUCCAGUCCCCCUUGCACUUCCAAGGAGAUUUCACUAUAAUCACAAGNNNNNNNNNNNNNNNNNNNNNNNNNNNNNNNNNNNNNNNNNNNNNNNNNNNNNNNNNNNNNNNNNNNNNNNNNNNNNNNNNNNNNNNNNNNNNNNNNNNNAAGCUUGUCUAUGUGUUGGCUAAGGGGUUGGUCAUCUGAUUCUGUUGAUGAUGAAGAGGGUGAAGAGGGUAGAGAUGGAAUCUGAGUAUUAGUUGGAGCGUUAGAUGGAUUACCUGAAGACUGAGCUUCUGGAUGAACUGCUUCUGGAGCUUCUGAAGCUGGUUCUGAUGAAGUUGCUCCUGAAGCUUGCUUAUUCUUCAAGGCUUGAGAAAGCAGAGUUGCUCCAUACUUAACAGUUUCUAACUCCGAUUCUAAAGCAACAAUGUCAGGAGUAGGCACAUACCCUGCAGCCUUGAGACGUUCAUCCCUUUCUUUUUCAUACAAAAUCUUCAUCCUUUUCUUUUCUGCUAUCUUGGAUGCAGCAACCUCCCUAGUAUACUGCUCCAUUUCUUCAGUCAUUUCGAAACUUGGCAUGACUAUGGGCUCAGAAGUUGCAGUCCUUUUUGCUUUCUUAGGGCUUGAGUCUUCAUCCCAGUUCUCUUCCAGUUCUUCCAACAUUUGUGCCCUUCUUCCUUCACCUGUCUUCAGAUUUCUUGUUAAAUUAGACCUUUUUCUUUUGAUGGUCUGAAGAGCAGCUUCUCUUUUAUUUUUGGGACACGGAGGCUUUUCAGAAGCAGCUUGAUCAGAAGCAGCUUGUUCUGAACCAGCUUGUUCAGAAGCAGGCUGUUCUGCUGUUUCUUGAGUACUCCUUGUCCUUUUUCUGAUAAGAGGGACAUCUUCCAAAUCCUCCACUUCCUCAAGAAUGGUGGACAUAGCAGAUUUUACCUUCUUAGCUUUCUUAUGCUUCUGAGCACCCACCUCAGUAGCAUUUUCAGCAAGGUAUUCUUCCUUGGUGAUCUGCUUCUUCUUAGAUUUUCUGCUUUUGGCCACAGGCAGCUCACCACCAUACAUUUGGUCAGGAACAUCCUUCAAGCUGAUUUUCUGGUUAAAGGAUUUGUAGUGAUCCAUGAUAUAUGCCCUUUGAACCUCCAAGGGAUCUUGUUUACAGAUGGGAGGAAAGUCUGGGAUAAGAUCUGAUUUGGCAUCAGAAGGUUUCAAGUCAGUAGGACUCUUCUUCACAUCUUUUGCUUUAAUCAGAUGCAUAGCCCUUAGAGUCUCACCAUUGAUAAUCUUCCCUCUAACAGUUCCCAACUGUUCAUCUGUGAAGAUCUGAGCUUCUUUCAGCAUCUCAAUAAUUCCUCCCUGAUGGAAAAUCUCAGAGAGUAGUCUUCCAUAGGGUACCCAAGACCUUUUAUUCAGUUGACUCUCUCUGAGUUGAUGAACCAUAUGUCUGAAUAUGUAUCUGGGAAUAUUUGCCUCUACACCCUUUAUGACAAAGUGUAAGAGGAUUUUAUGUUCCAGAGAGGGCUGAUCACCACCACCACCUUUUGGUAGUAGGUUUUCGUUCUGAAUCUUCAACAUAACCUUUGUCUUGGUGUUCAUGUCAGAAUAGGCAAAGUCCUUUACCUUGUUGUAGAGAGUUUUGUUAACAAUAGCAUUCCAGGGGCUGUCCUUUGGCUUUGAAAUCCCAGCCUCAUGUUCUCCUUCUGCUGGUCUUCUGAUGACAAAGGCAAUAGUGUCCUCAGUGAUCCAGACACGGAUUCCCAUGAUGCUUGAUCUUAUCUGGGUUUUGGAGAAAGUUUCCAAGCCCAUUUCCGCUUUAGACUUCCCUUUGAGUUCAGGAUUGAGAAGAACUUUUUCAUCUUCUUCAAUCUUGGCGGCUUCCCUAUCGUAGAUGCUGGCUCUAACCCAGAAAUGACGAACCAGUGUUUGAUAAGUUGGUCCAUUUAGAAGAUUGAAGUACCUUCCCAGACCUUGUUUCUCGUAGUACUUGCCAAUGUCACAGUCGUGAGCGGCCAAAGAAUCAAAAUCCACCGGACUUUCUGAUUGAAUGUUUAAUUCCCAUUCCUCCAAGGACAUAGUUCUUCCUUUGAUUUCAUAAGCAGGAGUAUCUAUAUCCAUAUUCGAUGAAGAACCACCGGCAGAACUUGAAGAUGCCAUUGAUAUGAAGUGGUUUUAGGGUUCUAAAGAGUUUUUGAGAGGAUGAGAGAAUGUGCUUACUUACACAGAGGGUUGAGAAGAAAUUAGAAAGUGUUUGUUGUGAAGUGAGAAGUGUGUGAAAUGACUUAGUGUUUUUUAUUAAAACGUUUGUAAUUCAGAAGGGACAAACAAACACAGCAUUAAUGACAAAUUGGGGGCGCGUGUAAGUAUGUUAAAAAGCGAAUAAAAACAUCAUUGCCCUUUUUGUUAUACUCCAAUACAAAUAGACCACGUCAGAGACUCUUCAGAAAACUACCUUUUGGGUAAUGGGACAGCUGUUACAUAAAGUAACUGCCAGCGUUCCCACUAACCAAGCUAUUCAGAAGCAAAGAAUAACACUUCUGAAGUUUUAGUGCUGACGUCAUCUUCAGAAGCACAUUUUCCUCAGAACCUCAGUUAAGAGCUUCUGAUGAACCAAAAAUGCUCCUGAAUAAACUUCAGAACCAAACUUCUUAUUCAGAGGCAAGCCAUUUUUCAAUCAGACACAAAAUGCAUGUUCAAAUUUUUCUUAAUAAAAUCAAAUCUUUCAACAGACAAAGGUUUUGUAAAUAUAUCAGCCCAUUGAUGUUCAGUAUCAAUGAAUUGUAUAUCUAAAAUUCCUUUUUGAACAUAGUCUCUGAUAAAAUGGUGUUUGAUUUCAAUAUGCUUGGCUCUUGAAUGUAGAAUUGGAUUCUUUGACAAACAAAUAGCAGCAGUAUUAUCACAAUAAAUGGGAAUACUGUUAGCAUUGAUCUGAUAGUCUUCCAACUGAUGUUUCAUCCAAAGUAGUUGUGUGCAACAACUUGCAGCUGAAAUGUACUCUGCUUCUGCUGUAGACAUAGCAAUAGUUGCUUGUCUUUUGCUUGCCCAGGAUAUCAGAUUCUCUCCCAGGAAUUGACAAUUUCCACUGGUUGAUUUUCUUUCAAUCCUAUCACCAGCAUAAUCAGCAUCACAGAAUCCAAUCAACUUAUAAUCUAGGGAUUUCCUAUACAGGAGUCCAAGAUUAGUUGUUCCUUUCAGAUACCUGAAGAUUCUCUUAACUGCAGUUAAAUGAGAUUCUCUAGGAUCUGAUUGAAAUCUUGCACACAAGCAUACACUGAAUAAAAUAUCAGGUCUAGAUGCAGUGAGGUAUAACAGAGAACCAAUCAUACCUCUGUAUAGCUUCUGGUCUACUACUGUUCCAGUAUCUUCUUUGCUUAAGGUGCAGGUUGGAUGCAUUGGAGUGUUCAUCACUUUACAAUCUUCUAGCUUGAACUUCUUCAGAAGCUCCUUUGUAUAUUUUGUUUGAUGAACAUAUACUCCUUCUUUACUUUGGUUGAUUUGAAUUCCCAGAAAGAAUUUCAAUUCUCCCAUCAUACUCAUUUCAAAUUCAUCCUGCAUUAACUUAGAAAAUUCUUUGCAAAGAGAUGCAUUAGUAGAACCAAAUAUUAUAUCAUCAACAUAUAUUUGCACAAUCAAAAUAUCUUUCUUAAGAGUCCUUCUGAAGAGUGUUGUGUCAACUUGUCCUCUUUCAAAAUCAUUUUUAAUUAAGAAAUUACUUAGUCUAUCAUACCAAGCUCUGGGAGCUUGUUUCAAGCCAUAUAGUGAUUUCUUAAGUUUAUAAACAUGGUCAGGAUGCUUAAGAUCCUCAAACCCAGGAGGUUGUUUAACAUACACUUCUUCUUCAAUGACACCAUUAAGAAAAGCACUUUUGACAUCCAUUUGAUAUAAUAUUAUGCCAUGAUUAAUUGCGUAGGAUAGAAGUAACCUGAUUGCUUCCAAUCUUGCAACUGGAGCAAAUGUUUCAGUGUAAUCAAUGCCUUCUUGUUGACUGUAGCCUUGAGCAACAAGUCUGGCUUUGUUUCUGGUUACUUCUCCUUGUUCAUUCAGCUUGUUUCUGAAUACCCAUUUUGUUCCAAUAAUGUUCUUCUGAGAAGGUUUGGGUACCAGAUCCCACACAUCAUUCCUUUGGAAUUGAUUUAGCUCUUCUUGCAUAGCUAAUAUCCAUCCAUCAUCUGAGAGAGCUUCUUCAACAGUUUUAGGCUCAAUUAUUGAAAGCAGUCCUAUUAAAGACUCUUCUUGUCUAAAAUGUGAUCUUGUUCUUCUAGGACUAUCUUUGCUUCCAAUGAUUAACUCCUCAGGAUGUGAAGAUUUGUGCUUGAAUUUAGGUUGAAUAACCUGCUGAGUGUUAUCUUGAAAGUCCUCAGAAGCACUUUCAUUCUGUACUUUUGGGCUAGGUUCUGCUUCUGAAUUAGACUCAGCUUCUGGAGUGAUUUCAGCUUCUGGACAAGAUUCAACUUCUGUAUACUUUUCAGAAUCAGAAGGUUGAUCAGAUUCUGAUGCAUCUUCAGAAUCAGUUGUACCUGCAUUACUUUCACUUUGCUCUGAAGUUUUACUUCCAGGCUCUCUAUCAUCAAAUUUUACAUGCAUAGAUUCUUCAACACAUUGUGUUUCUGAAUUAUACACUCUGUAUGCCUUUGACCUUUCAGAGUAACCUAAAAAGAUUCCUCUUCGAGCCUUGGCAUCAAAUUUCUUCAGAUAGUCUUUAGUGUUUAAGAUGUAACAAGUACAUCCAAACUGAUGAAAGUAAGAGAUAUUGGGUCUUCUUCCUUUAAAGAGUUCAUAUGUUGUUUUCUCCAACAUAGGUCUGAUAUAGAUCCUAUUUUGAAUAUAACAUGAAGUAUUGACUGCUUCUGCCCAAAAAUGUUUAGCUAAGUUGUUUUCAUGGAUCAUGGUUCUGGCCAUUUCUUGUAAGGUUCUGUUCUUUCUUUCUACAACCCCAUUUUGUUGUGGAGUUCUAGGAGAAGAAAACUCAUGGAGAAUCCCAUGUUUUUCACAAAAAACUUCAAAUGGCUCAUUUUCAAAUUCUCCACCAUGAUCACUUCUGACUUUCAAAAUUUUCAAUUCUUUUUCAGAUUGUAUUUGAGUGCAGAAGCUGCUAAACACUUCACAUGCAUAGUCUUUACUUUUAAUGAAUUUUACCCAAGUCCAUCUGCUGUAAUCAUCAACAAUGACUAAUCCGUAUUUACUUCCAUAUAAAGAUGCAGUGUUAACUGGACCAAAAAGAUCAAUAUGGAGUAAUUCUAAGGGUCUGGAGGUUGAUACAAUGUCUUUAGAUUUGAAAGAACUUUUCACAAUUUUCCCUUUCUGACAUGCACCACAAAGUGCAUCUGAAUGAUAAUCAAUGUUAGGCAAUCCUUUGACCAGUUGUAACUUGCUAAUUUUAGAAAUUAAUCUCCAAUUAGCAUGUCCCAACCUUUUAUGCCAUACCCAUUUUUUAUCAUUCAUUGACAGAAGGCAAACUACCUUCUGAUCAGCCAGAUCAGAGAAAUUUAUUUUAUAAACAUUCUCAACUCUCUUUCCCUUGAAUGUAAUGGAUUUGUCAUCCUUGUUGACUAGUGUGCAGUUGGUCUUACUGAACGUUACAUCAUACCCAUUGUCACAAAAUUGACUAAUGCUCAAUAGGUUAUGCUUCAGACCAUCUACUAGCCACACAUUAUUAAUUGAGAUGGAGGAAUUACCAAUAGUACCUGUACCAAUGAUCUUUCCAGUUUGGUUGCCACCAAACUUCACUUCUCCUCCAUCUUUCAUUGUAAGGGUAAGGAACAAAGCUUUCUCUCCAGUCAUGUGCCUUGAACAUCCGCUGUCUAGGUACCAUGACCUUUGUUUCUCUCUUGCCCUUAAGCACACCUGCAUUUUUGGCCAAUUCAGAUUUAGGUACCCAUAUCUUCAUGGGUCCUUUUGGGUUAGUUUUGGAGGUUUUACUUUUCCUCCCUUGUACCUUAGGGUGAAUGCUGAGUGGCUUCUGAUCAUUCAAUACUUUGGGUUUGACACCUUUUGGUAUUGUUUUCUCAGAAGCAGUAGCUGCUUUGUUCUUCUGAUCCUUUUGUUUUGGAAUUUUAGAUUCUGGUUUAAUCAGAUUCUGAUGAACAGGUUCUGAUCUUUUCAGAAUUUUAAUCUUUUGACUCUUAGGAUCAGAUUUUGUCAUUACCUUGAUCUUAAGAUUCUCUGGCUUUGAUGUGAUCUUAGCCUGUGAAUCUGAAGCUUCAGGUUUUGACUGAACAGCAGUUAUAGCAUUUGUACCUUCAGGCACAAAGGUGGAUUUCAAUCCAUCCUUGAUACAAUCACAGUAGCUCUUGAGACUGUAUUCUUUGGAUUUCUCCUCAGAAUAUCCAAUCCCUUUGCCUUUGUUCUUGUAUGUGCUGUAGAUCAUAGAAGCAACUCUUGCUUCUGUCUAUUCCAGCCAUAAUAAAAUCAUCCAAGGCAAUCUCAUGUUUAUUGCCUGAACCUUUAUCACAUUUUUCUUGUAGCUUCUGACAAAGACUCUUGAGUCUAUCUUCAUAUGUUGUUGAUAUGAGGUUAAACCCUUUGAGUUCUUCUUCAGAAGCUUUCAGUUCCAAUAGAGUUGAUUUUUGUUGUUUCAUCAAAUCAACAUAUUUUUCUUUUAAAUCUGUCAACUCAUUGGUUCUGUGUUCAAAUAGUGAUAAAAGUUCUUUUAGAGAAUCAACAAGUUCUUGUCUAGGGAUUUUGGAAUAUACCUCAUUUUCAUCUUCUGAAUCUGAUUCAGCUUCUGAUACUGCUUCUGAUGAUACUGUUGCCACUAAUCCAACGGCUGCCUUAGCAUCAUCAUCAGCUUCUUCUUUAUCAGAACCAGAUUCACUAUCCAAAUCUUCCCAGGUCGCCAUCAAGCUCUUUUUGAUUUGCUUUCUGAAUUUACUGGAGUUGAAGCUUGAUUUCUUGGAUUUGCCUUUAAACUUCUCCUUCUGAAGAUCAGGGCAAUCAGCAAUGAAAUGACCAGGCUUCUUACAAUUGAAGCAUCCCUUCUGAUCUUCUUUCUUGAAGUUCUUGUAGCUACCUCUCUUGCUCAAAAAUUUCUUCUGCUUCCUUGCCAGAUACUCAAGCUUGUUGGACAGCAUAGCCAUCUUUACAGAUUGAUCUUCAUCAGAAUCUCCAUCAGGUGAUUCUUCUUCAGAUUCACUGGCUUUGUAGGCUUUGGAAGACUUUGAGGUCUUUCCUUUAGAUGGUAAAGCAAUGGAUUUACUCUUCUUAGAGGUUUCAUGCUCAUUUAAACUCAUUUCAUGCACUUUGAGUGAGCUAACAAGAUCUUCAACACUUAAAGUAUUUAGAUCCUUAGCUUCCUCAAUAGCAGUUACUUUGGGUCUCCAUCUUGAAGGUAAGCUUCUCAAAAUCUUACUAACAUGAUCAGAAGCAACAUAGCUUUUCUUCAGUAUCUGCAAUCCAGAAACUAAAGUUUGAAAUCUUGAGUACAUUUCUUCUAUACUCUCAUCAUCCUUCAUUCUGAAAAGUUCAUACUGAUGAACUAGCAUCAAAGCUUUAGCCUCUUUCACCUUCUUGCUGCCUUCAAAGUUGGCACAUAGUGACGCAAACAUAGCCUUCGCAGUAGAUUUGUCACUCAUCUUCAUGUAUUCAGUGCGAGGUAUAGAAGCCACAAUAAUCCCUCUGAUUUUGUGGUGCUUCUUGUAAAGCUUCUUCUGAGCAGGAGUAUGUAUUUUUCUAUCUAUAGCAGCUCCUUCUUCAUCUAAAUCCAGGUCAUCAACUCCAUCUUCCAGUAUGUCCCAUAACUCUUCAUCUAAUCCCAUGAUAAAGCUGUACAUAUUAGUUUUCCACCAAGAAAACUCUUCUGGAUCUCCAUUAAACCUUGGAGCUUUUCCAGAGUCUGUUUUCUUGUCAGCAGUAUCAUAGUCAUGCUUGACGCUUGUGUAUUUUGGAGUAACUGAUUCCUCAUCUCCAGACAUGUUUUUCUAAUAGAUCUUGAACUGUAACACGGUUAAGUGCUGUGAUAACAGAGCAGGCUCUGAUACCAAUUGAAGGUGAAAAACACAAGAAGGGGGGGUUGAAUUGUGUUUUCUUUUUCUCUUAAAAAAGGAUUCUUCUUCUGAUAAAACUUCAGAAGCAGUUUGAUUGCUUCUGAUGAAAUGAUCAGAGUCAGAUUGCAGCGGAAAAGAACAGAGCAGAGAAAAGAAAGACAAAGACACAGGCAGUUAUCCUGGUUCCUUCCACAACACGGAAGUAGUCCAGUCCCCCUUGCACUUCCAAGGAGAUUUCACUAUAAUCACAAGAUUACAACUGCUCAAUACUUUCAAAGUAUGAGACUUCACAAAACAAUGCUCAAGCACACACGCAAGAGUCUUCCAAUGCUCAAGCACUAAGCAAGAGACUUCUAAUGCUCAAGCACGCAGGCAAGAGACUUCUAAUCAAACAAAAAUACAGAGAAUUGAGUUUGAAUUGAACACUUGAUAUACAAUCAGUGGUGUUCACAAUACAAUACAGAAAAGACUCUAGACUUUGAAUUUCUAAGAUGUAUCAAAUCAGUGCAGAAAUUCAGUGUGCUUUGUAGAAUCAAAUUGACAGAGUUUUGGCGCUUUUGAACUUAUGUAUCUCUAUCUAAAAUCUUCAAGUCUUCAUUCCUUUAUAUAGAGGCGUGAAAGAGACGUUGAGAUAAUCAGCACGUCUAAAGAGUCGUUUGAAAUCCUUUGAUUAUCCACCAGUGAUCCUUUGCCUGAUUUGGGUGUAGUCCUUUGAAGAAUAAACUUCAAAUUCAUUCCCAUCUUGAGUGUACAAAUUCUGCAGGCAUGGCUGUUGUUUUGUCUUGUAGCGUAGACAGAAAACAGAGUAGUGGAGGUAGUGGUUGUACACUUGUACUUUGUCAACUCUAUUAAUGAGAGACAAGUGCUCAGUGCUAUCCAUAUAUCCGUUGAUACCUCCCUUUCAAUUCUUCAUUCUUCUUUGAUAAGACUGAAUUGAGAAUCAGCAACUUUGAAUCUUCAGUUUGACUAAAGGAUCAAAUGUAGCUUCUGGUGAAAAUAUUGCUUCUGAUGAAAACUUUUGCUUCUGAUGACUUUCUGCUUCUGAUGACUUUCUGCUUCUGAUGACGUCAUCUCUUCAGGAGCAGUUUAGCUUCAGGAGCAGUUUUCUUCAGAUGCUCAGAAUUUCUUUUUCUUUCCAUUGUUCUUCCAAGACCUAUUGAAAUAACUUGAGUAGCCUUUGGUCCUGUACACUUGAACAAUUAUUAGUAAUAACCAAUUGACAAUUUUUAAUACCUUGUUAUCAUCAAAACUUAAUAAGGUUCAUUGUGAAACACAUUUUGUUCCAACAAAAACGUGGGUUUAGAAGAAGCCAGAAAACAUAGUGUCUGUUUGGUUGAGCGUUUUUGCUCACCAAACCCACGUUUCUACUUUCAAACGUGACUUUAUCACUUUUUGUGAUGUUUGGAUACAAUUAAAAGCAAAUCUGAAAAUGCAGGUUUGAACCCAAAACGUGGGUUUAGAAGAAGCCAGAAAACAUAGCUUCUGUGGCAACUCAAACUUGGUUGGAAAUUUGCUUUUAGCUAACAAAUGUAUUUUCCCUAUUUACCCAUGCUUCUCAAGCUCCAAUUUUUUCCCCUCAAUUUUCAAUUUUUUAUUUCUCUAGAACACUUUCUACUUAUUUUUCCAGAUCUGGAGAAAAACGAAAAUGAGUGAGGAAGAAUAAUUAAAUCACUCCAUCUCCAUGAAAGCUUCAAUCAACACAAGAAUGAAAAAUUAAAAAUUUUGGGAAAGAGAUGAGGGAAUUAGAGUGGUAAAAGAAUAUUGAAAGAUGAUAGAAUGAGGAACUGUUAAAGAA
rnacentral:lncRNA from 1 species